CCUACGGGAGGCAGCAGUGAGGAAUAUUGGUCAAUGGGCGCGAGCCUGAACCAGCCAAGUAGCGUGAAGGAUGACUGCCCUACGGGUUGUAAACUUCUUUUAUAAAGGAAUAGAGUGAGGCGCGUGUGCCUUUUUGUGUGUACUUUAUGAAUAAGGCUCGGCUAACUCCGUGCCAGCAGCCGCGGUAAUACGGAGGAUCCGAGCGUUAUCCGGAUUUAGUGGGUUUAAAGGGAGCGUAGAUGGGUGGUUAAGUCAGUUGUGAAAGUUUGCGGCUCAACCGUAAAAUUGCAAUUGAUACUGGCAGUCUUGAGUACAGUUGAGGUAGGCGGAAUUCGUGGUGUAGCGGUGAAAUGCGUAGAUAUCACGAAGAACUCCGAUUGCGAAGGCAGCUUACUAAACUGCAACUGACAUUGAUGCGCGAAAGUGUGGGUAUCAAACAGGAUUAGAUACCCGGGUAGUC
rnacentral:rRNA from 1 species